AGUGAACGCUGGCGGUAGGCCUAACACAUGCAAGUCGAACGGCAGCACAGUAAGAGCUUGCUCUUACGGGUGGCGAGUGGCGGACGGGUGAGGAAUACAUCGGAAUCUACUUUUUCGUGGGGGAUAACGUAGGGAAACUUACGCUAAUACCGCAUACGACCUACGGGUGAAAGCAGGGGAUCUUCGGACCUUGCGCGAUUGAAUGAGCCGAUGUCGGAUUAGCUAGUAGGCGGGGUAAAGGCCCACCAAGGCGACGAUCCGUAGCUGGUCUGAGAGGAUGAUCAGCCACACUGGAACUGAGACACGGUCCAGACUCCUACGGGAGGCAGCAGUGGGGAAUAUUGGACAAUGGGCGCAAGCCUGAUCCAGCCAUACCGCGUGGGUGAAGAAGGCCUUCGGGUUGUAAAGCCCUUUUGUUGGGAAAGAAAAGCAGCAGGUUAAUACCCCGCUGUUCUGACGGUACCCAAAGAAUAAGCACCGGCUAACUUCGUGC
rnacentral:rRNA from 1 species